rnacentral:lncRNA from 1 species
CGAAUCACAAAGGCCCAAGAGACCCCUUAGCAUACUAUCAUAAGAAUAAUCCUACACAAAUUAAAGUGAAAAAGAUAUAAUAAUUUUUAAUGGAAAUUUAUAAUUCAAAAUGCGUCAUGAAAUUCUAACAAUACAAUACUCAAAUUUCGUUCUACAGUAGUCUACGAAGCCUCUACUGAACUGAAAAUAUUAGUCUGACUUAACCGGG